rnacentral:rRNA from 1 species
UACGUAGGGUGCAAGCGUUAAUCGGAAUUACUGGGCGUAAAGCGUGCGCAGGCGGUGAUGUAAGACAGAUGUGAAAUCCCCGGGCUCAACCUGGGAACUGCAUUUGUGACUGCAUCGCUGGAGUGCGGCAGAGGGGGAUGGAAUUCCGCGUGUAGCAGUGAAAUGCGUAGAUAUGCGGAGGAACACCGAUGGCGAAGGCAAUCCCCUGGGCCUGCACUGACGCACAUGCACGAAAGCGUGGGGAGCAAACAGG